CACUAAUCAGCAAUCAGUAGUUAGGAUUGUAAAAUGCACCAAUCAGCACUCUGUGGCUAGCCAGAGGUUUGUAAAAUGUGCCAAUCAGUGCCCUGGAAAAAUGCACCAAUCAGCACUCUGUGGCUAGCUAGAGGUCUGUAAAAUAGGCCAAUCAACACUCUG